rnacentral:rRNA from 1 species
UGGGGAAUUUUGGACAAUGGGCGCAAGCCUGAUCCAGCAAUGCCGCGUGCAGGAAGAAGGCGCUCAGCGUUGUAAACUGCUUUUAUCGGGGAAGAACGGCAGUCCUGCGGGAUUGUGUGACGGUACUCGAGGAAUAAGCACCGGCUAACUCCGUGCCAGCAGCCGCGGUAAUACGGAGGGUGCGAGCGUUGUCCGGAUUUAUUGGGUUUAAAGGGUGCGUAGGUGGUUGAGUAAGUCUGGUUUGAAAGUCAGUCUCUUAACGAUUGAGGGUGGCUGGAUACUGAUGAACUUGAAUGCCCUGGGGGUAGGUGGAACGGGUUGUGUAGCGGUGAAAGGCAUAGAUAUGACCCAGAACCCCAAUUGCGAAGGCAGCCUACUACGGGGUGAUUGACACUGAGGCACGAGAGCAUGGGGAGGAAACA